UGGGGAAUUUUGCGCAAUGGGCGAAAGCCUGACGCAGCAACGCCGCGUGAGCGAAGAAGGCCUUCGGGUUGUAAAGCUCUGUCAGGGGGAAAGAAGGCACCUGGGUUAAUAGCCCAAGGGCUGACGGUACCUCCAAAGGAAGCCACGGCUAACUACGUGCCAGCAGCCGCGGUAAUACGUAGGUGGCGAGCGUUGUCCGGAAUCAUUGGGCGUAAAGAGCGCGUAGGUGGCUUGUCAGGUCUGAUGUGAAAUUUUGGGGCUCAACCCCAAACGUGCAUUGGAAACCGGCUUGCUAGAGUCUGGGAGAGGAGAGUGGAAUUCCUGGUGUAGCGGUGAAAUGCGUAGAUAUCAGGAGGAACACCGGUAGCGAAGGCGGCUCUCUGGAACAGUACUGACGCUGAGGCGCGAAAGCUAGGGGAGCGAACAGGAUUAGAUACCCUGGUAGUCCUAGCCGUAAACGAUGGACACUAGGUGUCGGGGGUGUCGACUCCCUCGGUGCCGAAGCUAACG
rnacentral:rRNA from 1 species